UAGGGAAUUUUCCACAAUGGACGAAAGUCUGAUGGAGCAACGCCGCGUGCAGGAUGAAGGCCUUCGGGUCGUAAACUGCUUUUGUUUGUGAAGAUUAUGACGGUAACAUACGAAUAAGGGUCUGCUAACUACGUGCCAGCAGCCGCGGUCAUACGUAGGACCCAAGCGUUAUCCGGAAUUACUGGGCGUAAAGAGUUGCGUAGGUGGCAGAGUAAGUUUCAAUAUAAAGAUCACGGCUCAACCGUGGGAACUAUUGGAAUACUGCUCAGCUAGAGGAUGAGAGAGGUCACUGGAAUUCCUAGUGUAGGAGUGAAAUCCGUAGAUAUUAGGAGGAACACCGAUGGCGUAGGCAGGUGACUGGCUCAUUCCUGACACUAAGGCACGAAAGCGUGGGGAGCGAACGGGAUUAGAUACCCCCGUAGUCC
rnacentral:rRNA from 1 species